rnacentral:misc_RNA from 1 species
GAAGACUACACUUGCUAAAUUGGUGUAUAAUGAUCAAAGGGUGAUUAGUCAUUUUGAUGUGAAACUAUGGGUGUGUGUUUCAGACGUCUUUGAAUUAGAUAAGGUGAUGAUUAAAAUUCUUAACUCUGCUGGUCAAAAAAAAAGAAGUGGAUUUGGGUAUAGACCAAUUACAAAGAGCCUUGUGAGAGGCUUUGAAUGGAAAGAAGUAUUUACUCAUCCUAGAUGAUGUG